ensembl:lncRNA
AGGCCAUCAGGAAGGAGGGUAUGGAAACACAGGCUGUGGUGGGUGGGAAGCAGGGGAGGAGGAGCAGGCUGAUGCCUGCUGAGAACCUUCCAGGUGCCAGGCAUAUAUUAGAUACUUCACAGAUGUCAUCACUUAAUUCUCACACCUACCCCAUGAGGUGAGAGUGAUUCUUAUUUCACAAACCUGGUGCAGGCUGGUGAAGUGACUUGUCCAGACCUCCUAAGCCAGAGAAUAGAAGCCACAUGUGUAUGCAGGUGUGCUGUAUCCAGACUUCCUGCUAUGUCCACCUUGCCUCCCGUUCAGGAUGUGGUGCUCACUCAAAGCCCUUGGAAGAAGAAAAAACCCUACAUCGCCUGGAACAGUACCCCUGGGAACCACAGCUGAGCUCCAGAGGACUGAAGCACCUGGCUUGCAAGGACAGCUGAGACGAAACUCACAAGGAGGAUCAGUUGCAGGUGGUGAACCACAACCUCUCAAGGUAGUUGGAGAGACCAUAAUCCCCAGUAGGUAAGGCCUACAUGUUCUUUCAGCUAGACGUAGCUAUAUGAAGACAAUAUCCUAUAAAGAAUUAUGGGGAUUUAUGUUGCAGGCCAGAAAUAAGGCAGGAGAUUAGCACUGGCCAGCUGGCUAGGCAAGUAGGCAUGACUUGUCAAUCACAGAGAUCCAAGACACAUGGCCAGAAAAACAAUGCCCAAACCUUGCUCCCCUGGGACCAAUCCAAACAUGCUGAUUUUAAUUCUUCUGGCACAAAAUCAAGCAGGUUUUUGUCACGACAGCCUAGAUCUGACUUCAGAAUGAGAACUAUGAAAGAUAUUGGCCAUUAAUCUUGUGGCUCCUAUGCUCUCUUUCCAAGUGGUUUGCUCUCACUCUGCAGUGUGUACUUCUUUUCCUACCUUUAAUAUAAGUAAAACUUACUACCUUUUGCACUUGUCUUGUCCAAUUCUUUGAUCAGGACAAGAACCUGGAAAUUAUCUCUAGAAGGAGCCCACAGCACCCCAGAACCCAAGCAACAAGAAUAUGAUCACAAGUAUAACACGGUCAAAGCCAAAGGGAG